UAGGGAAUCUUCGGCAAUGGACGGAAGUCUGACCGAGCAACGCCGCGUGAGUGAAGAAGGUUUUCGGAUCGUAAAGCUCUGUUGUAAGAGAAGAACGAGUGUGAGAGUGGAAAGUUCACACUGUGACGGUAUCUUACCAGAAAGGGACGGCUAACUACGUGCCAGCAGCCGCGGUAAUACGUAGGUCCCGAGCGUUGUCCGGAUUUAUUGGGCGUAAAGCGAGCGCAGGCGGUUAGAUAAGUCUGAAGUUAAAGGCUGUGGCUUAACCAUAGUACGCUUUGGAAACUGUUUAACUUGAGUGCAAGAGGGGAGAGUGGAAUUCCAUGUGUAGCGGUGAAAUGCGUAGAUAUAUGGAGGAACACCGGUGGCGAAAGCGGCUCUCUGGCUUGUAACUGACGCUGAGGCUCGAAAGCGUGGGGAGCGAACAGGAUUAGAUACCCUGGUAGUCCACGCCGUAAACGAUGAGUGCUAGGUGUUAGACCCUUUCCGGGGUUUAGUGCCGCAGCUAACGCAUUAAGCACUCCGCCUGGGGAGUACGACCGCAAGGUUG
rnacentral:rRNA from 1 species